AUACGUAGGGAGCGAGCGUUGUCCGGAAUUACUGGGUGUAAAGGGAGCGUAGGCGGGAGGGCAAGUCAGGGGUGAAAUGCAUGGGCUUAACCCAUGAGCUGCAUUUGAAACUGCAUUUCUUGAGUGAAGGAGAGGUAAGCGGAAUUCCUGGUGUAGCGGUGAAAUGCGUAGAUAUCAGGAGGAACACCGGUGGCGAAGGCGGCUUACUGGGCUUUUACUGACGCUGAGGCUCGAAAGCGUGGGGAGCAAACAGGAUUAGAUACCCUGGUAGUCCACGCUGUAAACGAUGAUUACUAGGUGUGGGGGGACUGACCCCUUCCGUGCCGCAGUUAACACAAUAAGUAAUCCACCUGGGGAGUACGGCCGCAAGGUUGAAACUCAAAUGAAUUGACGGGG
rnacentral:rRNA from 1 species